rnacentral:lncRNA from 1 species
UAAGUUCCAAGAGGGAAUUCCCCUCCAUUCAAUCGGCCCGGCGUUACUGCACACCACCAAGUGUCGAAGUGCUAUUGCAUCUCGAAAGAAUUGGAACUUUUGGUGUUGUUUUACCUCUAAAGAUCUGAUUAUUGAUACUCCUGCGUGCAUAAGUUCAUCACCAUGUUGCCUGCAGAAGAAGAACACUGAUAUGAACGGGUGGAGUACCUUUUAGGAGAGUACAACUUCAUCGGAGUUGGUUUGUCUGGUAUUCAGCUAAGCAGCUCAUGGCAAGUCAGUGGAUGAGGUUACUAAACCCUUGUCAGAAGAACACUGAAAUUCUGUACUAAAUGCCCAUCAAAGCGGUGGUAUUCAACAAUAGGUCCGAUGUUGAUCGAAUGUAUACGUAGGAGUGUAGGACUAUAGCGAAGGAUAGCACAUAACGAAAAGGAAACUCGUCAAAACCUCAAUAACAUUUACCUGUACCAGUUACUGAUCCGUAGAGCAACACGAGUAGCCGAGUAAGCUUCUGUUGCAAUGACAGCGUG